AUGCGGCUCAUUGAACCAGAGGAUUUUAAAUGUAAAACUUUUUACUUGGAAGAGGAAGACAAGGUGAGUGAGGUUGCCAUUGAGGAAGAAAAAGAGGAAGAGGAUGAAAAAAGUGAAGAUGAUUCAUCAGACCACGAUGAAAAUGAAGAUGAGUUUAGUGAUGAAGAAGACUUACUAAAUAGCACAAAGGCUAAACUCCUAAAGUUGACAAGCAGCAGCAUAGACCCUGGUCUGAGUAUCAAGCAGUUGGGUGGUUUGUAUAUUCAUUUCAAUGCAGAUAAACUACAGUCUAACAAGAAAACCCUAACACAGAUCAAGGAGAAAAAGAAAAAUGAGCUUCUGCAGAAAGCCGUCAUUAUACCUGAUUUUGAAAAACACUACUGUGUUCCAUCAUAUAGUGAAUCAAAGUAUCAACUUCAGAAAAAACGUAGAAAAGAAGGACAAAAAACAGCAGGGGAUGGCUGGUUUGGUAUGAAAGCUCCAGAAAUGACAAAUGAACUGAAAAAUGAUCUCAAAGCACUGAAGAUGAGAGCCAGCAUGGACCCGAAAAGGUUUUACAAGAAAAAUGAUAGAGAUGGCUUCCCCAAGUACUUCCAAAUUGGAACCAUUGUUGACAAUCCAGCUGAUUUCUACCAUUCACGAAUUCCCAAGAAGCAGAGGAAAAGAACUAUUACGGAAGAACUGCUGGAUGAUUCUGAGUUCAGAAGAUACAACCGCAGGAAGUACUCAGAGAUCAUGGCUGAAAAAGCAGCAAAUGCAGCAGGAAAAAAGUUCCGAAAGAAGAAGAAAUUUCGCAAUUAAGAUUUACCAAGCAAACUGCAACAUUUUACAUCACCCCUUUAUUUACUUAUUAAAGACGUUUUGAAAA